ensembl:snRNA U6 U6 spliceosomal RNA
GUGCUCACUUUAGCAGCACAUGUACUAAAAUUGGAAUGAUACAGAGAUUAGCACGGCCCCUGCCCAAGGAUGACAUGCAAAUUUGUGAAGCAUUCCAUAUUUUU